GAUGAAGAACGCAGCGAAAUGCGAUAAGUAAUGUGAAUUGCAGAAUUCAGUGAAUCAUCGAAUCUUUGAACGCAUCUUGCGCUCCUUGGCAUUCUGAGGAGCAUGCCUGUUUGAGUGUCAUUAAAUUCUCAACUACACUGACUUUGAAUUGGUGUGGCUUGGAUUUGGGGGGAAAAUUGUUGUGGGCUUUUUGUAUAGUCUGCUCCCCUGAAAUUGAUUAGCGGUACCUUUGUGGAACUGUCUACAGGUGUGAUAAUUAUCUACAUCUGCUGGAAUGCUGCUUUCUAAACCUUACUUGUAUUGACAAUCUUGACCUCAAAUCAGGUAGGACUACCCGCUGAACUUAAGCAUAUCAAUAAGCGGAGGA
rnacentral:misc_RNA from 1 species